rnacentral:rRNA from 1 species
AUUGAACGCUGGCGGCAGGCCUAACACAUGCAAGUCGAACGGUAACAGGAAGAAGCUUGCUUCUUUGCUGACGAGUGGCGGACGGGUGAGUAAUGUCUGGGAAACUGCCUGAUGGAGGGGGAUAACUACUGGAAACGGUAGCUAAUACCGCAUAACGUCGCAAGACCAAAAAGGGGGACCUUCGGGCCUCUUGCCAUCGGAUGUGCCCAGAUGGGAUUAGCUAGUAGGUGGGGUAACGGCUCACCUAGGCGACGAUCCCUAGCUGGUCUGAGAGGAUGACCAUCCACACUGGAACUGAGACACGGUCCAGACUCCUACGGGAGGCAGCAGUGGGGAAUAUUGCACAAUGGGCGCAAGCCUGAUGCAGCCAUGCCGCGUGUAUGAAGAAGGCCUUCGGGUUGUAAAGUACUUUCAGCGGGGAGGAAGGGAGUAAAGUUAAUACCUUGGCUCAUUGACGUUACCCGCAGAAGAAGCACCGGCUAACUCCGUG